rnacentral:misc_RNA from 1 species
AAGUCGUAACAAGGUUUCCGUAGGUGAACCUGCGGAAGGAUCAUUCAUAAUAAGUGUUUUACUGCACUUUUUAAACAAGUACUCACCUUGUGUGCAAUGUUUUUGGGCUUUUGUUUUUUUUAGGAUGAUCGUUUAUUCGGUCAACCAAAAAAAAACCUUGCUUAACAAAAUACCAACCUUUAUUUUAAUUUUUUUGUCUGAAGCUAUUUCGAAUAUCUAAUUCUAAAUACAA